GACGGACGCUGGCGGCGUGCUUAACACAUGCAAGUCGAGCGGUAAGGCCCUUUCGGGGGUACACGAGCGGCGAACGGGUGAGUAACACGUGGGUGACCUGCCCUCAGCUCUGGGAUAAGCCUGGGAAACUGGGUCUAAUACUGGAUAUGACUCCACGGUGCAUGUCGUGGGGUGGAAAGCCUUGUGCGGCUGAGGAUGGGCCCGCGGCCUAUCAGCUUGUUGGUGGGGUGAGGCCUACCAAGGCGACGACGGGUAGCCGGCCUGAGAGGGCGACCGGCCACACUGGGACUGAGACACGGCCCAGACUCCUACGGGAGGCAGCAGUGGGGAAUCUUGCGCAAUGGGCGAAAGCCUGACGCAGCGACGCCGCGUGAGGGAUGACGGCCUCGG
rnacentral:rRNA from 1 species